AAGAUUAAUACUUUAGGCUUCUAACCUAAAAUUAAUGGAUUUUCAUUUAAUCUUU
rnacentral:tRNA from 1 species